UCCUGUGGUAGUGUGAGGACAAGUGGUCAGGAGGUUACCGGAGAGAGGUGAGGCAGAGACGCAAAAACAGUCUGGAACCAGGUACCCCCAGGCUCCCCUGCCCCAGGACACCCCUUGGUCUCUACCCAGACCUUAAGGACCCGGGUGGCUCGCGCGCCGCCAUUUCCACAGGAUCCAGGUACCCCCAGGCUCCCCUGCCCCAGGACACCCCUUGGUCUCUACCCAGACCUUAAGGACCCGGGUGGCUCGCGCGCCGCCAUUUCCACAGGAUCCAGGUAAGUACUGUGUUUGUGUAAAAAUGUCUUUGCAGAUAAAAUGUCUCUGGAGUUGGUGGUGAUGUGUUCAGGGCCCUGACAUCAUCACA